CUCCUUCGUCGGUCAGUGCAGUCAGGGUCAGUGGGAAAAUAACUCAGAGCAAAACCCUGAGCGGGAGUUUUGCCCCCGGGCCAGCGGGAAGCCGGUCCUGUUAUUUUAAGUAGCGACUUGCAGGGAUGCUGUGAAAAAUGGUGUCAGGAAACUUCUCCUAAGUCCGCAUCACUGAAGCCAGUGUGAUUUGGACCUUUGAGGGAGUGAUUUCGACCUUUGAGGGAGUGAUUUCAAAAGGUUAGAUGUUUGUUUCCGUGAUUUAAUGUUCAAAAUAAGGAGUUUAUCCUACCUUGGUACUUGCAAACAGACUCGUGACCUUUUUGCAAAACCAGAGUUUAGGAACCACCACCUGUCUAUCAAUGGAAUACUAUGUGUCCAUUAAAAAUAUUGAGGGCACCCCAGCAUAUGGCAACAGUCCCCAGGCUCCUGAACCCGCGUCUACAGCCCUCCUGACACUCCUGAAGCUUCUCCCCCAUUUCCCAGUGCUAACGUGUGUCGUCAGAUUUCUGUCUGUCUCCCUCCACCAGCAGAGGCUGACAUGAAACAAAUUUGCAUUCCUUGAGAAGCUGACCAGAGGGCAGGCAGAGGAUGAUCUGUGAUGUGUUGGCUACCAUGUGAGGCCAACAUAAACUCAACAGUGGAGCAAAUAAUCCCAGACAGAUUAUACCAAUAUUCCGUAUUAAUAACUACUCAGUGGAGUGGGGUUUUUUUCACUUCGGUGGUGAGACAAGUAAAAUAAAAAUUUCAUGUUUUAUUUUCUGGGGCAUAGAUUGACAGAAGUCUGUUAACAAA